GUGGCCCGUGCGGGGAACCGGCCCCUGGGCCUUCGUCCCCGGACCGCCCCGACGCGCCUGGCGUGGCGGUGGGCUACGCCGGGAGGGCUGGGCUCAGCUGGCGCCUGCCUCCCCCAGUGCCUGCGCGGGGGCGGGAGCGGCGGUGCGAGUAAGUGGAUGUGCCUAACGAUGUGCCUGCGGACGGCCCUACGGGCGGCGGCCUCCUCACUCGGGGGCGGGGUGGGUGAGCCGCCUCCCCGCAGCGGCUGGGUCGUUCCUGUGGCCGUAAAGGGCAGCCGGCGCGGCGGCUGGGGCGAAGGCAGCUGCUGGGGGGGGCCUCCGCCUCAGGCCUGGCCCCGCGCAACUGCUAAAAAUACCAGCGUGCCCCACCGGGGUCGGGGGGUCGGGGGGCGAGGCGCCGGGCCCGAGCGCAGCAAACAGCUUUACCGUACCCUGAAAUGAACCGUAGGUAGAGAUAGAAACCCAUGCAAGAUUUAUACAUGCACAUGAAUUUGCUUUUAAACGGCACGUUAAGGCUUUCUGAUGCAGCAAAUGUAUCGACCAAGUGUCUCUUUGUGGGCGGGAGGCCAAAGCCUCUAACAAACAGAUUAUAAACACCAAAGCACGGGUUUUGUGCCAACUUCAGCAGCCCUAUUCAUGUGAACUAAGUUACAUGGUCUCUAAAUGUUUGCAAGAAAACCAGCGUAUAAUAAAGUGCUUCAAAACGGAUGUGGGAGCAGGUGAUUAAAAAGGCACAACAAAAGCGUUCUAUCAAAUUCCUUCAUUGCAGGGGUCUGGUAGUGUUUCAUACGCUCAAGAACUAGGAAACUGCCUUGCAAAACUGGAUAUCAUUGCUUAAUUGAAAGCAAUCCUCACAAACCAAUCCAAACUACUGCUGCAUAACUUCUCUCGAGUGAUCGUUUAGCGGUGAGAAAAUCCAUUGUGGUGCAAUUUCCUUUUUCUCUGACAGAUAGUAUCAAUGCUCUGUUGUGUGAGAAAGAAUAGAGGAAAGAACAAAGAGUGCAUCCAGGAGAGCAAAGAUCAGAUUUCCUGAAGCAAGAAGCCUCACUACAGAACAGCAUUACAUUCACAUACAAAAUGGAUUGGUUUUAUUUUCUGCAGAUGUAAAUAAAGUAAAUCUUUUUACUUGAUCCAAAUGUAAAUAAAGGAAAUGGGACAAGGUAAAAAAUCAAUGCAGACGCAAUCUUCAGGAGUAUCUUUUCUUUAAAUAAAUUCCCAGUUUUAUUAGCACGUAAGUGGUUUCAGCAAGUUGCUAUAAAAAUCCUGUCUUGCUGGAAAGCAAUGCUGGCUUCUGUCAGUCAUGCCUUCUGUGUACAGGUGGGUAAGACGGGCUGGCAUGUUAGUUAUUCUUCUUUCAGGCUGAAUAGAAGAAGGUGGUUAACACCAGGUUCAGAUUAAGGUUGCCAGAGACAGUGGAAGCCAAUGCUUAUGAGUGCAAGCUGAUUGCAGGGCCCAGCAGGUUGAAGCCUUCCUGGUAACUAUGUGGAAGGAAGGCUGUCUUGAAAACUAUUAGCAAAAAACCUUCCUGUUCUUGUAGCUUUUUACUUUUUUCAACAAAAGCAGGUUCUAUCUACGUUCUUUAUAAAUACACAGGAUUAUACUGAAGAAUACACCUGAUUUGUGCUUUUCUGUUCUUUUUUGAACAGAAAAGGUCCAAAUAUCAGUUACAUACAAUCAGAAUCACUGAAUGGUUUGUGUUAGAAGGGACCUUAAAGAUCACCCAGUUCCAACCCCCCUGCCACGGGUAGGGAAAUACAUCUUACUAGUUAAAAGAGUACUUUCUGCGUGGGUGAUUUUUCAUCAAUCUUAACUCAAGUGUAUUAUUGUACUGAACAGUGUGGUGGAAAUACAGGCUGUGUUCCAGUAAGAAAGAGAGCUGAAGGUUUGAAAAGGGUUACGAGAGAGGCAUCCUGUGUGAAGUCCAUGUGCUGAAUGCACCUGACAGCGUAACUGUGAGCAUUGUUUUUCUAACAGAGCACAGCAAAGUGUAAGACACAAACUGAAGCUUAAUUCUAGCAGACCAUUUCUCCAAGAAUUGUCUGCUGUGGUUCAGGGUCAGAAGAUGUAUCUUCCCAGUGACAGUAGGUUGUUUGUCUGUUCCCCACGAUGAAAGAAGCCCCUGCUCAGGCAGGAGGAGGAGGCGGCAAGUCUGUCAACAUCAUUAAGGAAGAUGUGAAGGAGAUCCUCUAUCAGUAUAAACCGCUUGUUUAAAAGGUGAAGGCUGAAAUUACCUGUGUAUCUGAACUGACUCGUUCCAUGGGGAGACAUAAAACAAUUGGUGAUGUUCUUCAACACAAUGACAUGGUCUCUCUGAUGCUACAAGUAUGCUGUGAUGUCACUUACUCUCCACACUUUUCCAUGCAUUGUGUGACAGUUUUCACUGACCAAAGGUAGAACAGACCUUCCUGUCUUCAAGGCAGCAAUGCCUGUACCUACAGUGUGAGAGCUUUGGAGAGCAGCACUGCAGAGGAGGUGCUGCUGGUGGAGGUCAUGGGUCCAAGCAGAUCAGGAAUGGGAGCGGUAAAAUAGGGUUCACACAACUGGAUGGUUUGUGAUUUUGGCUUAGCUACAAAGGGAAAAAAUGGCUUCAUUGAGCUUUUUAGGAAAUGGUCUUUAUUUUGUCAAAAUGAAGUUAACUGGUCUGUAAAAGUUAACACUGAAAAGAGGACAACUCAUUAGGUAACAUGUUCCAUUAAGCAUUCCCCGGCUUUCUUCUUUGACCUAUGCUUCUGUACAAAGUAUGGGAACUUCACCGACAGAUAAAACAAGCAGACACCACUGAAGCAUGGUGAGAGGAAGCUACAGCACCUCCAGUGCAGAGAAGAUAACGCUGUAAAAUUUAACCCACCAGAACACUUAUGAGUGAGACAGACUGUAGUAACACAGCACGCAAGUCAUCUACAGGAUAGUGCCCACCCCUACUCUUUUCACUGAGCUCCACAAGAUCUUUCAGUGCAACAACCCAUAUAUGUCUUCAGUAUCAGACACUUCUCUAUAAACAGCAGAAUGAAUUCAGCACUGAGGAACGUGGCUAUCAAGUAACCAGCCGGAAUCUCUUGGGUUUCUAUCAUGCUUACCUCGGUCCUCACAUCAGUACAGCCAAAUUGACCCAGGUGACACCAGUCUGCCAGGUUACCACCCUCUGCCGCCUCCCUUUGUGUAAAUUAUUACACGAGGGUCCUCGGUUACGGGAGGCUAUUCCAUGUAAGAGAAGACAGUGCUCAUCUGCACAAAUAUGGGUGUAUUCAGGUAGCCAACAGGCCUCUCUGCAAGCAGAGUUAAAUGGCAACUCCCUCAGGACACAAAGCACACAGACCUGGAGCAAUAAUGGAAUAUGGCUUAAAUUCUUCUAAUGACAAAUUCAAGGCAAACAAGUGCUUCCUUCAGUAAGCUGUGCUGCUGUCAACGGGCACCAGCUGACAACUCUGUGCUUUGUAAAAGAAAAAUAUUUUGCUUUUUAUCAUGUAAAACAGAGGACGGGAUGAGCUAAGGGAGCAAGACAGAGUACAUUUGCAUAGCUGUAGGAAAAUAACAAGCUGAUUGAAAAACCAUGCAAGAUCUGUGCAAUGUUAAGGGUAGGUCUUAGAUUGCUACUUAUCAUUAAAUUUACUUUGCUGCAGCCUGGUGGUGUGAUACCACAUGGUGGAAGUGGGUGAACAUAAGUAAGCCGUUCCACGGAGCUCUCCCACCACCAAGCAAAUCCCAGUGCUUCAGGAAGAAACACUGCAGAGACAACAGAUUUCUUGCUAAAGUAGCAUAACAUGAAAGGCACUUUCUGGUGUCUGGGGAUGCCCGUGUUUUCAGUGGGAUAUAUAUAUAAAACUGAAAUAUAGAUCACCUUCAUCGUUUAAUUGAUGAGAUAUUUUAUAAGACUGCAUAGUCUUGUCACUUGUCUGCCACGUGAUUCAUGUAUGGUUAAAUGGCUGUUAUGCAUCAAUAAACCUCACCAAUACUCACAAUGGGAAUAUUGUCACUCACAAAUUAGACACACCAUUUUGAGAGUCGCUCCUUGUUCAGAUAUAUUUCUAGGCUCAUGUAACUGGCCAGGUCACGAAGUUCCCAAAGCCAAAACAUACUGUUGCCAUCAAGUAGUCUGACCUCCUCUCUAAUUUAAUUUUGAUGUGUUCCCUGACCAAUUCUCAUAUGAAUUACAGCUUAUCUUUUAGACAUAUAUUCAAUCAUGCUUUCAGCUUUUUAUCUGUGUAAUUAUAGUCACUCUCUAAAUGUCCACUUCACUGGGAGGACUUAGUUUCUUUUCAGUCUGGAUUGCUUUAGUACUACGUAAUUUAAAGCAGUUUUACUACACCCAGGUUUUGAGUGCAGCAAUUUUAAAUAGCCCACUCACAUUCAUGUCUAUAAAACCUUACACUACUGAAAUGCUUUUUCUGAGCCUGAAAAUAGGCAUCAGGGUUGGGAAGACCUGAGCCGAUGGGAGUAAUAAUGCAACCAUUUUGAAUUAGUUACAUCAUCUUUGAAGGUAAAGCACAGUUUAUCGAAGAUAAAACGGAUUACCUCAAUCCUGCAACCGUGCAUGCACUUACUGAACUUUACUCAC